GCCUACCAAGCAGCCCGCAGAGAUGGCUCCGUGUGCGAGGCGUGUCCACUACGGAAUGCUUGGGACCACUUCUGGUCAUGCUGUGGACUUACCAUCACCUGGCCAGCUACAUGGUACCAUGACUGGGAAGCUCAGGCAAAGGAGAGUGAUGCUGGGGUCUGUCUCAGUGAAGAGGACAAAUGUGCAUUUGAGGGCUUCCUCGGUGGCACAGUGGUUAAGAAGCCACUUGCCAAUGCAGGGGACACGGGUUCAAGCCCUGGUCUGGGAGGAUCCCACAUGCCGCGGAGCUACUAAGCCCCUUGGCUGCAACUACUGAGCCUGUGUGCUGCAACUACUGAAACCUGCCUGCCUAGAGCCUGUGUUCCGCAACAAGAGAAGCCACCACAAUGAGAAACCCACGCACAGCAACGAAGAGUAGCCCCUGCUCUCUGCAACUACAGAAAGCCCAUGCACAACAAAGAAGACCCAA